AGCCUGGGGAGCUCACCUUCUCUCUAGGAAGGAAAAGGGCAGGCCUCCUGGAUGGGUAGGCACGUGGGGGGCAACCUUUUGCCUCCUGGGAAUGGUCCAGCUGGGGAGGUUAGCUAGCUUCGGGCUGAGGUUUGGGGAAGCCUGGCCCAGCAUCCCUAAGGCAUCUCAUCUCAUCCUUGCCAACGUAUUCUACCCCCUCCAAGAUAAUCCAGUGAUUCUCCCCCCAACUCACCUUUGUUUUUGAAGGCAGGUGGAUGAGUUUCAAAUCCUUUUCCCUCUCCUAGACAGAAGGUUGUUUAUUUUUCCUUUCCCUGCCACCCCCACCCCUCUUGCAUGCAAAGAUAAAUAUUCAAUUUACAUAAGAUGACAUUUAUGUGACAAUUAAGAAGAUUCCCCGAUGGAAUGUUGUGAACACAUUUGCUUAUAGGAGAAAUAAAUCUAAUAAUAAACAAACUCAUAACAGCUCAGAUCCUCCGACAGGGAAGUUGUCUCUUCAACAAAGAGGGACAUGAGGAACUCGGAAAGGAGCGCUCUCUGCAACAAGAAAGAGAUGAACUCAAAGGAAGCCACCAGCAGAACUUCUUUUCUUUGGCCUUCAUUCACAAAGUUUGAAGAGGCCUGUCUGGCAAGAGGAGGGGCUGACUCCACAUCACCUCACAGUUUGUCCUCCCUGGCUUUGGUUCUCAGUGGUCCACUGAGAAGAUUUUCCCAGGCCAAGAAGGCUGUGUGAGGCAGAUCGGUGAAGACAUCUCUCUGGGUCUGUUUUCUCCUUGAUGAGCUGAAGAUUACAGAGACCAUGUGAGCGCAUCAUAUACCCAUGUAUGUGAAUAUGUAAAUUUACAUUCCCUAUGUAGCAGGUCCCUAUGUAGCAGGACCCUGUUAAGAACACACAACACACCUGAGUGCCUUGCUCAUGUCUUCUUACUUAUAAACCCUAUUUUUUCAAUUA